GACGAACGCUGGCGGCGUGCUUAACACAUGCAAGUCGAACGGUGAAGGGAUCAGCUUGCUGGUUCUGGAUGAGUGGCGAACGGGUGAGUAACACGUGAGUAACCUGCCCCCUUCUUCUGGAUAACCGCAUGAAAGUGUGGCUAAUACGGGAUAUUCUGCGCCUGCUGCAUGGUGGGUGUGGGAAAGAUAUUGUUUCGGUGGGGGAUGGGCUCGCGGCCUAUCAGCUUGUUGGUGGGGUGAUGGCCUACCAAGGCGGUGACGGGUAGCCGGCCUGAGAGGGUGGACGGUCACACUGGGACUGAGACACGGCCCAGACUCCUACGGGAGGCAGCAGUGGGGAAUAGUGCACAAUGGGCGCAAGCCUGAUGCAGCGACGCCGCGUGAGGGAUGGAGGCCUUCGGGUUGUGAACCUCUUUCGCCAGUGAAGCAGGCCUGUCCCUUGUGGGUGGGUUGACGGUAGCUGGAGAAGAAGCGCCGGCUAACUACGUG
rnacentral:rRNA from 1 species